CUCAACAUUCAAGCAGGCAAUGUGCCACACACCACAUUAUCAUUCAGUUCAACACAGAUAUUUGUACAGUUCAUAGUGUUUCUCGAGUCGAGAUAAAUAAACUCCAAAAAAUUCGGUCCUAUUUUCGUGUCUAGCUUGAAAAGUCAGAGCUCCAGUUGAAGCAACGAAAAAUGUGCAACUAUCCUUGCUAUCCCUCUGCUGCCCUGUGCCCUUGCGGCGGUUGUGGUCCCAGCGGCUUUUACGAUCCCUGCUUUGGCCCCUUCAAUGGUCCCUUCAAUUCGUGCUGUGGCCCCAGUGGUACCCAAUGCUGGAGAGGAUGCACUUUUUACUAGAAGUGGUGGGACCUCAAACUCAACUAGAGCACUGCCUUGUCUUGCUAACAGAAGAAAAUCAGGAAUAGAAUUGGUUGUUCUGACAACAGCUUGAUCAACUUUCAGAAACGACUCG